UCCUGGUGAUUUAUUAGAGCAUGUACCACCUCUUCCCAUUCCGAACAGAGAAGUGAAAGUGCUCUAACCUGAUGGUACUUGGUUUUCCAGGGAGAGUAGGGUUCGCCGGGAU
rnacentral:rRNA from 1 species